GACGAACGCUGGCGGCGUGCUUAACACAUGCAAGUCGAACGGAAAGGCCCUGCUUUUGUGGGGUGCUCGAGUGGCGAACGGGUGAGUAACACGUGAGUAACCUGCCCUUGACUUUGGGAUAACUUCAGGAAACUGGGGCUAAUACCGGCUAGGAGCUCCUGCUGCAUGGUGGGGGUUGGAAAGUUUCGGCGGUUGGGGAUGGACUCGCGGCUUAUCAGCUUGUUGGUGGGGAAGUGGCUUACCAAGGCUUUGACGGGUAGCCGGCCUGAGAGGGUGACCGGCCACAUUGGGACUGAGAUACGGCCCAGACUCCUACGGGAGGCAGCAGUGGGGAAUAUUGCACAAUGGGCGGAAGCCUGAUGCAGCAACGCCGCGUGCGGGAUGACGGCCUUCGGGUUGUAAACCGCUUUCGCCUGUGACGAAGCGUGAGUGACGGUAAUGGGUAAAGAAGCACCGGCUAACUACGUG
rnacentral:rRNA from 1 species